AUGCUCACUUUAGCAACACAUAAACUAAAAUUGGUAUCAUACAGAAAAGAUUAGCAUCAUCCCUGCAUGGAGAAGACAUGCAAAUUCAUGAUACUUUCCACAUUUUU
rnacentral:snRNA from 1 species